rnacentral:rRNA from 1 species
AUUGAACGCUGGCGGCAGGCCUAACACAUGCAAGUCGAACGAGUGGCGGACGGGUGAGUAAUGUCUGGGAAACUGCCUGAUGGAGGGGGAUAACUACUGGAAACGGUAGCUAAUACCGCAUACCAUCAGAUGUGCCCAGAUGGGAUUAGCUAGUAGGUGGGGUAAUGGCUCACGUAGGCGGCGAUCCCUAGCUGGUCUGAGAGGAUAACCAGCAAAACUGGAACGGUGACACGGACCAGACUCCGACGUGAGGCAGCAGUGGGGAAUAUUGCACAAUGGGCGCAAGCCUGAUGCAGCCAUGCCGCGUGUGUGAAGAAGGCCUUCGGGUUGUAAAGCACUUUAAGCGAGGAGGCGUUACUCGCAGAAGAAGGACCGGCUAACUCAGUGCCAGCAGCCGCGGUAAUUC